rnacentral:rRNA from 1 species
UGGUGGGUAGUUUGACUGGGGCGGUCUCCUCCUAAAGAGUAACGGAGGAGCACGAAGGUUGGCUAAUCCUGGUCGGACAUCAGGAGGUUAGUGCAAUGGCAUAAGCCAGCUUGACUGCGAGCGUGACGGCGCGAGCAGGUGCGAAAGCAGGUCAUAGUGAUCCGGUGGUUCUGAAUGGAAGGGCCAUCGCUCAACGGAUAAAAGGUACUCCGGGGAUAACAGGCUGAUACCGCCCAAGAGUUCAUAUCGACGGCGGUGUUUGGCACCUCGAUGUCGGCUCAUCACAUCCUGGGGCUGAAGUAGGUCCCAAGGGUAUGGCUGUUCGCCAUUUAAAGUGGUACGCGAGCUGGGUUUAGAACGUCGUGAGACAGUUCGGUCCCUAUCUGCCGUGGGCGCUGGAGAACUGAGGGGGGCUGCUCCUAGUACGAGAGGACCGGAGUGGACGCAUCACUGGUGUUCGGGUUGUCAUGCCAAUGGCACUGCCCGGUAGCUAAAUGCGGAAGAGAUAAGUGCUGAAAGCAUCUAAGCACGAAACUUGCCCCGAGAUGAGUUCUCCCUGACUCCCUGAGAGUCCUGAAGGAACGUUGAAGACGACGACGUUGAUAGGCCGGGUGUGUAAGCGCAGCGAUGCGUUGAGCUAACCGGUACUAAUGAACCGUGAGGCUUAACCUU